rnacentral:rRNA from 1 species
AGCGAACGCUGGCGGCAGGCCUAACACAUGCAAGUCGAACGAACUCUUCGGAGUUAGUGGCGGACGGGUGAGUAACACGUGGGAACGUGCCUUUAGGUUCGGAAUAACUCAGGGAAACUUGUGCUAAUACCGAAUGUGCCCUUCGGGGGAAAGAUUUAUCGCCUUUAGAGCGGCCCGCGUCUGAUUAGCUAGUUGGUGAGGUAAAGGCUCACCAAGGCGACGAUCAGUAGCUGGUCUGAGAGGAUGAUCAGCCACAUUGGGACUGAGACACGGCCCAAACUCCUACGGGAGGGAGCAGUGGGGAAUCUUGCGCAAUGGGCGAAAGGCUGACGCAGCCAUGCCGCGUGAAUGAUGAAGGUCUUAGGAUUGUAAAAUUCUUUAACCGGGGACGAUAAUGACGGUACCCGGAGAAGAAGCCCCGGCUAACUUCGUG